rnacentral:piRNA from 1 species
UGGAAGCCGUCCUUUGCCCCCGUUGA